ACUUACACGUUGGUGCUGUGGCACUGGA
rnacentral:piRNA from 1 species